AUGAACGCUGGCGGCAUGCCUAACACCUGCAAGUCGAUCGGUAAGGCUCUUCGGAGUACACGAGAGGCGGACGGCUGAGUAACGCGUAGGAACACACCCUGCAGUGAGGGAUAAGACACCGAAAGGUGUUCUAAUACCGCAUACGGUCUUCGGAUUAAAGCAUUUAUGCGCUGAAGGAGUGGCCUGCCUCAUAUUAGAUAGUUGGUGAGGUAAUGGCUCACCAAGUCGAUGAUGUGUAGCUGGUCUGAGAGGAUGAUCAGCCAGACUGGAACUGAGACACGGUCCAGACUCCUACGGGAGGCAGCAGUGAGGAAUAUUGCACAAUGAGCGAAAGCUUGAUGGAGCAAUGCCGCGUGCAGGAUGAAGGCCCUCGGGUUGUAAACUGCUUUUAUAAGAGAAGAUUAUGACGGUAACUUAUGAAUAAGGGACGGCUAACUACGUG
rnacentral:rRNA from 1 species